rnacentral:tRNA from 1 species
UCCCUGGUGGUCCAGUGGUUAAGACUCUGCACUCCCAAUGUAGAGGGCCAGAGUCCAAUCCCUGGUCAGAGAA